UUUGACGAAACAUCUCUUAUUCGUUUCGCAGUUUCCAGAAACAACAAUUGCGCAAAAAAAUAAACCCACCCCCGAUGAAAAUCUCUCUGUUUCGAAAGACAAAACCCACAUUCCUCCCAGCCGGACUGCAUCCACAGAGCACCGACUCCCUAUGAAGUGGCAGAGAUUCUUCUGGCGGGUGCGCUCCCGUGAAGGCAGAGGACUUGUCUCCCUCUCUAACACAGUUCGAUCCUUACCCAUUUACAGGUUUAUCUCUCACUUGGGUGCGCUCUAACAGUUUCGGCUGUAGGAGUCUACCUGCAUCUUUUGUGGAACAUCGGUGGCUUACUCACUACUUCGGCAUGCAUGGGAAGCAUUGUAUGGCUACUUUCCACUCCUACACAUGAAGAGAGGAAGAGGGUAGGUCUCUUAAUGGCAGCGGCCCUUUUUGAAGGAGCUUCAAUCGGUCUUCUAAUGGGCUAUUGUAUCGUGUCCAGAGGGAUCAAAACAUGAAUGUCACUAUCCGAGAUGGGGGAAAGUCCUGAUCAUUAUCGCAUUUGGAAACGUUUUUAGAAACAGCUUUUAUCAAAUACAAAAAAAAUAGUUUCUGUUCUCGAAAAUGUAAAUUUAUGUUUCUGCAGUUUUUUGAUACAGAAACGACAGAAACAUUAUCAAUGUAUAAGCCAGAACUCUAUUUGUUUGUAUAAGCCAGAGCAACAACCUCGUGGACC